GUGGGCCUUGUGCAAUCAUGGGGUUACUGCAAACACUGUACCCGGUAAGUGUAUGAGAUUAUCUAUGCUGAAUCCAUAAUUUUGAACGUGAACUUGAACUUCCAAGUGACAGAAACACAUAAUUUUGGUUUCGAUACAGUAUUCUUUUAGUCUGCCGUACUUAUUUCAGGCCCAAUUUUGAUUAUUUGCAGAGUUCUUAAUCUUCCACAGAGCCAGUACAUAACUCCAAACUACCAGCAGCAGACUAUCAAUGUUGGGAAUUCUAACGGCAAUCAUAAUAAGGGUGCAGAAAAGAGGUACUUCAUCUUGACUCUGUUAUAAUACUAAGACUACCCGAGGGCUUCACGAUUUACUCGAAAUUAGUUUGUUUCUGAACACCUGAUACGUACACCUUACAUGCAUUUAGGUGCUUUUUCUUUGAAAUUUCACAUGCAUUACUUCUCUUUUAGUAGAAUAUCAUAUGCCUUUACAGUCAUGUAACAUAUUUACUGCUAUUUGGUUUCGAACUCUGUUUAUUUGGAUCGCCAAAAGUCAUACUUUUAUUAGAUAUGAAUUUGUGAGCUUGAAAUCCUUAAUCUGGGAAGUGGGAGUCCAGAAAUUUCUCUGUUCUGGAUUGUAUCAUGACGUAACCAUGAUCAGCUGACAUUUGAGUUUCUAGGCCAAAUGGAAGACCUCCUAUGGGUAAAGGAAACAAAAAGGAGAGCAGAAAACGUUCCCAUGCCGAUGACGAUGAGCUAGAUCCCAUGGAUCCAAGCGCUUAUUCCGAUGCUCCUCGAGGCGGCUGGUAAGGAAUAUAAACUAUCUUCUGGCAAACUGCAUAUUAUGGUUGGUUCUGUUACUGAUGAUCUAAUGUGUUUGACCUCAUAGGGUUGUGGGCUUAAAAGGGGUGCAGCCAAGAGCAGCCGAUACGACUGCCACGGUAUAUGCUACACUUGGUCACUCCGAAGAUGAGAUUUAUUUGUCGAAUCGUACGUCUAGUCAUUGGAUCUUAUUCCAUUGGUGGUUAAACUUGUUUUGUUCUGUUUUUGUGCAGGGUCCUCUUUUCCAGCAACGCCCUUAUCCAUCACCUGGAGCCGUGUUGCGGAAGAAUGCAGAGGCUUCAUCGCAAUCGAAGAAGCCGGGCUCUCAGUACGCUCCGAUAUCGAAGAAAGGCGAUGGUAGUGACGGUCUGGGUCAGGCUGAUUGAUGAUCUACAUUAGUUGUUAGCACAAAUAGAAGAAACAAAAUGAGUGGUUGGUUGAGGGUGUAUCCGAUAGACUGGCGGUCCAAGUGCACCAGUGUAGUUAAUAGCAUUGUGUUCAAGAUAUCAAGUUCGAAUUUAGCCACACCCCACAUAUGUAUCCAUCCACAUGUAACAUUUACCUUUCUGUUGUCUUGUAUUGUCCUAUCUGGAAUAAAAUAUUUAGAUGGAUUAACAGAUUGGUAAAACAUGCUCCAUUGCUUACUCUCUCAACAUUCAUUUUAGAACUAGAAGAUUUGAUAAUCUUUUUGAAAAGAUAAGUAUUUGGUAGUUUAUAUUUUUGGUAUUGAAACAAUAGAAACUACAAAAUUUCAAAAUUUUCUAUGUGUCAUAUGAUAAGUAAUAACUUUCCCUAACAUAACUACAAGAACCUGAGACUCUAACAGCAGCAAAAUAUUAAAGACAAAGGAGAAAUUUUGAGGGAAAAAAACGCUCUUUUAGUUUUUGUCAGUAUUAGUGUUAACGAUACAAUAUAGAUCGUUACUGUUUAAUUACAGUUCAACUACGAUUUAUAACGGUUUAAGUAGUUGAACCUCGUACUCAACGAGACCAAGAAUGCAGAGAGCUAUUCCGGUAGAAUAUAGGAUUAUAUAAACAUUACCCUUUGUCACAAUUCAGAAAGACUACAAGGACAGUGAGAAAGAUUCAUCCUUUUCCCAUCACGAAAAUCGAACCAAACCGAAUCAAUCCGAACGAAUCUACGUAUCAUUCGACGCGCUACUCACACCAGUUGACAUGAAUUUGUUGGUCGAAAUCGACCCAGAAUGCUAAAAACAUACCAGCAUACAACUUCACUAAGCUAACAUCGCAAGUGAUUUAGAAACUUGCAUUUGAAGACACUGAGAGAAUCACUUUGUAUCGUUCCAAUUUGAUCGGAUGUCCCCGAAGGGACGACAGGAGAGAAUCACUAUUGGCGCCAAUAUGGAGGUUCUAUUAUGAACAUAGUUCAAAAAUCAACACAUGAUUUGGUGAGGGAAAAACGGAACUAAAAUGCCAAAAAAUCCUCUUCAUUUCAAUAGAAAUGCACAAACAAAACUGAAAGCAAAUGGAUUCAGAAUCGAGACCUCAAUUGAAGUCCUUCAAUCUCUUCUUCAGCACAUCGAUCGACUUCUUCUUCGCGCUCUGCUUUGCAUUUCUGUUAGAAAGACUACCGAAAAUCGAAUCAGUAGAGUCCUUGAACUUGUCACAAAUUGUAGCCACCUUCUUAUAGUCCAAACUGUUAUAGCUCCUCUCCCUAAUCACAGGAUUCAUGAAGUUCUCCGGCUGGCUGCUCGACAGGAGAUUAAUCAGCUGCCGCGCUUCCACCAAACACGCUUUGAAACUACCUCCCUUGUAUAUCUCGCUCAGACCGCUCGUAUGGAACCUCUCCUCGGCGAAAUUCUCCACCAUUUUCAGAUCAUAGUUGAGGGACAGGACCGCAUUGGCAUUGAACCGCUUCACACUGUCGCUGAGAAACGCUGCGACAAUCGAGCUUGAAAUGUGCUCCAGUGCACCACAUCCGACUUUGAACAGAGCAUCCAUGGGUAAAAUCUGCUGCGCUGUCGAUAAAACAGUGUCGAGAUAAAUCACCACCUCGUUCAUGUACUCGUUUCCGAUCUGAGGCGUCUCCUCGGAAGUCCAGUUGAUGUUUUCCGCAAGUGACAUGAACUCUUCCAGCUUGGCGUUCACUAAAGCUAGCAGGGAAAGGUAAGCUUCAUCCCUUGAGGUUUUCAAGAUCACCUUCGCAGUCAAAGUAGCCUGCGGCCUCUCAACCGAUCGGACCGGAAUUCCACAUAGUUGGGCCGCAUGGCGAGUGAAGAACUCGCAGGCUCUUUCGAGAACCGAUAUGUUCGCUGCAAUCUGCAUCGCUUGUGAAACCCCAAUCGCACUGCUAUUGAUUGUACUCAGCACGACUUCGUUCAAAACAUCGAUUAGUAACUUGUCCGAAUACUUCCUCACAAGAUCGUAGAUAUUCGUAUGCAUACCGUACGACAGGUAAUCCACCGAUCCCUUGAUGAACGACCGAACGAUCCGGCAAGUAUCGGGCACCAUGGAUGAGAACGGCGCAAUAUACGGAAAAGCAGGCAUAAUAUCUGACGUCUGGAGCUCGAAUAUGAGGACAUUGUUCUCGUAAUCAGUAUCCUUCUUCAUCACCAUUUGCUCGUAAGUGUCGUUUCCGAGAGCGCUGAUAAUCUGCUCGCGACAUUCCUGCAGGAGAAGGUCGUGAUAUUUCUCUCGGCCUUUGUCGAGAGCCUCCAGGAUCUGCCUCGAGUCAUAGCCAUAUGUUCGAAGAGUCUCCGCAAGAAGAGUGACGUAAUCCUUCACAAGGAGGAGAUGAGUAGCUGAAUCCGUAUGGUUGUUGAACUGAUCAUCCAAAAGAGAUGUCACUUUGUUCUUAGCUGUUUCCCACAUAGCUUCGACCUGAUCCGAAGAUAGAACACCGCUCGCGGUCCUCAAGACUCGAUCCUCCACGAUGAAGUACCCAGCAAUCUGAGCCAAAUAGGUCUGGUAAGAUUCUAUAAAAGGCUGCCCAUACGAGAUCUGCAAAUCCGAAUGCAGCUGUAAAACCCGAUUCUUGUAGUAGUAGUCACGGAACUGAUCUUGGAUUCCGAGGCAAGCGUGGAUAUGAUAGGCUCGGUACAGCGGUGUGAUGUCGAACUGUAGAACAGAAUCUUCGUCGAUUUCUUCGACAUCUAGAGUGAAUGCGAAAUCUCCUAAUAAACCUGAAACGUUCUGCUCCUCGGAUUUCCUCUGUCGUUCGAGCAUCUCUUCGUCUCUCUGGCGUGCCGAUGCAGACUGGCUUAUCGCGGUCUGGCCGAUGGUCUUUGCAGAGCUCCUGACGUGGACAAGCCAUUCGUUGAACUGACUGGUGACUUUCUUCUCGAUAUGCGAUUUGAUGACCGGAAUCGUCUUCCCUACCACCAUUUUAAGCGACCCCACGGGAAUGUUCUUCAAGUAAUUCUUCUCAAUCAAAUCCAAGUUCUUCAACGCCGGGUAGAAAUUACCAUCGGCCAUGUGGUUGUUGCAUUUCACACAGAGCUCCAAGACCUGAACACAAGCCUUGGACAUUCUCACAGCUUCAGUCACGUUCUUCCUAAUCGAAUACGAUUCAAGAAGCUCCUCCAGUUUGAUCAGAAGAGAACUCCCAACUUCCUGCAGCUUCAAAUUAUCGCUCGAGAGCUCGCCUUUCAGAUCUUCGGCGUCGACCAGGACACCACGAAGCUCGUCAACCGCAAGGAUGAAUUCUUCGUAGUGGCUCUUACAAAGCUCCUCGAUUUCAAAUUCUUUCUUCUUUACAACGGCUUUCAGCUGCUGCACGAGAGCUUCAGGACGAUUCACAUCAAAUGCGUGCCUGACGAUAGGACCUAGAUCAUCCCCAUUGCCGAUUAAAGUUGCAAGGACCGAGUCCUCCCCACCAGUAUCCCCAUUCUCCACAACUGCUCUCCUCUUUGGUUUUGCAUCCAUGGCUUUAGUAGGAAACUAACUCUGGAAAUAAUCCAUGUCCAAUGUAAAUAGCGAAAUCAGAAUGGCCCGAGACCCAGAGCAGAAUUUUUGAAAAACUACACCGGGUGAAAUUCGAAUGCGAAAAGCAUCGAUUUUGAAAAUUUUACAUGGAAUUUCAUCACUUUAGAACCAACGAACCCUAAGCAGUGAACUCGAAACCAAGUCAGUCAAUCGCACACAUCAUACAGAAACCAUACAUCCAACUGACUAUUGAUUCCUCUUCAGUAAUUCUACCAUUUCAAAGGAAAAAAAUACAAUCAUACAGUCCCCAUGAAACCCAAAGAGCCAUCGAUUAUAGAAGUGAAACCGAAUUCCAGGUUCAGCUGAACAGCAAAAUUAAAAAACUGGGGGCGCAGAGUUAACCAAACAAACAUAUGAACCCCAUAUAAGCAAUCCUAGGGAAAUCAGAUUACAAAGAGUCGGAAUCGAAGGAGAGAAAGGCACUUACAGGAAGAAGGUGAGAAAGAGAGGAGGAGAUGCGGCUAUCUCAUGAAAAGCUAACGCCUUUAUUCAGCAGGAAAAGAUGCUUUGCCUGGGUUUGGCCGCCUGCCUUGUACAAAUCGGUGGAAUGCUCUAUUAAUUACAACAAGGAGACGAGACAAAGAGUAUUAUUAAGCAAUACAAAGAGAAAGAAGAAAUGCUGCUGGUUUUGUUUCAUCCUCUUUGUUUGUCGCUGCAUUUCUCCAUUAUUCCAUUUGUUGCUGUUUCGAACAAGAUUUCUUCUUUGUUUAUUAUUU
rnacentral:lncRNA from 1 species